rnacentral:lncRNA from 1 species
UUAUCCUUUUGUGUUUAGCAUAAUGUCUUCAAGCUUCAUCCGUAUUGUAGCAUGUGUCAGAACGUCAUCCUUUUUAAUGGCUGAAUAAUAUUCCACUGUAUACAUAUAUCACUUUUUUCUUUGUAAGACAGAGUCUCACUCUGUCACCCAGGCUGGAGUGCAGUGGCGUGAUCUUGGUUCACUGCAACCUCCGCCUCCUAGGUUCAAGCUGACCCGACACCAGGUCUCUUAACAGAAAAACAAAACAAAAACCAUAAAGAUUAGCCUGGCCUGGUGGGCCCGGCGGGCAGUCCCAGCUACUCUGAAGGCUGAUGUAGGAGGAUUGCUUGAGCCAGGGGGUGAAGGUGGCAGUGAGCCA